AGAGUUUGAUCCUGGCUCAGGAUGAACGCUGGCGGCGUGCUUAACACAUGCAAGUCGAACGCACCUUCGGGUGAGAGGCGGACGGGUGAGUAACGCGUGGGAAUCUGCCCUUAGGAGGGGGAUAACGGCUGGAAACGGCCGCUAAUACCCCAUAUGCCGAGAGGUGAAACGAAUUUCGCCUGAGGAUGAGCCCGCGUCUGAUUAGCUAGUUGGUGGGGUAAGAGCCCACCAAGGCGACGAUCAGUAGCUGGUCUGAGAGGAUGAUCAGCCACACUGGGACUGAGACACGGCCCAGACUCCUACGGGAGGCAGCAGUGGGGAAUUUUCCGCAAUGGGCGAAAGCCUGACGGAGCAACGCCGCGUGAGGGAUGAAGGCCUCUGGGCUGUAAACCUCUUUUCUCAAGGAAGAAGACAUGACGGUACUUGAGGAAUAAGCCACGGCUAAUUCCGUGCCAGCAGCCGCGGUAAUACGGGAGUGGCAAGCGUUAUCCGGAAUUAUUGGGCGUAAAGCGUCCGCAGGCGGCUCUGUAAGUCUGUUGUUAAAGCGUGGAGCUCAACUCCAUUUCAGCAAUGGAAACUACAGGGCUUGAGUGUGGUAGGGGCAGAGGGAAUUCCCGGUGUAGCGGUGAAAUGCGUAGAUAUCGGGAAGAACACCAGUGGCGAAGGCGCUCUGCUGGGCCAUAACUGACGCUCAUGGACGAAAGCCAGGGGAGCGAAAGGGACUAGAUACCCCUGUAGUCCUGGCCGUAAACGAUGAACACUAGGUGUCGGGGGAAUCGACCCCCUCGGUGUCGUAGCCAACGCGUUAAGUGUUCCGCCUGGGGAGUACGCACGCAAGUGUGAAACUCAAAGGAAUUGACGGGGGCCCGCACAAGCGGUGGAGUAUGUGGUUUAAUUCGAUGCAACGCGAAGAACCUUACCAGGGUUUGACAUCCUGCGAAUCCCUUGGAAACUUGGGAGUGCCUUCGGGAGCGCAGAGACAGGUGGUGCAUGGCUGUCGUCAGCUCGUGUCGUGAGAUGUUGGGUUAAGUCCCGCAACGAGCGCAACCCACGUCUUUAGUUGCCAGCAUUCAGUUGGGCACUCUAGAGAGACCGCCGGUGAUAAACCGGAGGAAGGUGUGGAUGACGUCAAGUCAUCAUGCCCCUUACAUCCUGGGCUACACACGUACUACAAUGCUACGGACAGAGGGCAGCAAGCUCGCGAGAGUUAGCAAAUCCCAUAAACCGUGGCUCAGUUCAGAUCGUAGGCUGCAACUCGCCUACGUGAAGGAGGAAUCGCUAGUAAUCGCAGGUCAGCAUACUGCGGUGAAUACGUUCCCGGGCCUUGUACACACCGCCCGUCACACCAUGGAAGUUGGCCAUGCCCGAAGUCG
rnacentral:rRNA from 1 species